rnacentral:rRNA from 1 species
CCCUUAGAUGUUCUGGGCCGCACACGCGCUACACUGAAGGAGGCAGCGUGUACUCCUGGAUCGAAAGAUUUGGGCAACCCGCGAAUCUCCUUCGUGCUAGGGAUUGAGGUUUGCAAUUAUCCUUCAUGAACGAGGAAUUCCCAGUAAGUGCAAGUCAUAAGCUUGCGCUGACUACGUCCCUGCCCUUUGUACACACCGCCCGUCGCUACUACCGAUUGAAUGAUUUAGUGAGGACUUCGGACUGGGACCGAUGCGGCUUUCGGGCUGCGUCGGUAUUCUGGAAAGAUGUCCAAACUGUAUCAUUUAGAGGAAGUAAAANUCGUAACA